rnacentral:rRNA from 1 species
GUCCACGCUGUAAACGAUGAGAACCAGAUGUCGGGAGGGUUGCCUCUCGGUGUCGCAGUUAACGCGUUAAGUUCUCCGCCUGGGGAGUACGCCGGCAACGGUAAAACUCAAAGGAAUUGACGGGGACCCGCACAAGCGGUGGAGCAUGUGGUUUAAUUCGAUGCAACGCGAAGAACCUUACCUGCCCUUGACAUCCUCGGAACUUGUCAGAGAUGACUUGGUGCCUUCGGGAACCGAGUGACA